AGGAGCCCAACAGGAGCGACAUGAGAUCACAUGUGGUCGGCACUACUUUUAUUAAGGUGAACUGAAAACCUUGUAGUUGUACUGUGUCUUUCAUGUGUGUUCUCAGGUCGCCCCUGCUGGGCUUCC
rnacentral:pre_miRNA from 1 species